CGGCGGACGGGUUAGUAACGCGUGGGAACGUGCCUUGUGCUCUGGAAUAGCUCUGGGAAACCGGGGGUAAUACCGGAUGUGCCCUGAGGGGGAAAGGUCUUCGGACUGGCACAGGAUCGGCCCGCGUCUGAUUAGGUAGUUGGUGGGGUAAUGGCCUACCAAGCCUACGAUCGGUAGCUGGUUUGAGAGGAUGAUCAGCAACACUGGGACUGAGACACGGCCCAGACUCCUACGGGAGGCAGCAGUGGGGAAUCUUAGACAAUGGGCGAAAGCCUGAUCUAGCCAUGCCGCGUGGGUGAUGAAGGCCUUAGGGUCGUAAAGCCCUUUCGCCGGGGAAGAUAAUGACGGUACCCGGUAAAGAAACCCCGGCUAACUCCGUGCCAGCAGCCGCGGUAAUACGGAGGGGGUUAGCGUUGUUCGGAAUGACUGGGCGUAAAGCGCGCGUAGGCGGACCGCGAAGUUGGGGGUGAAAGCCCAGGGCUUAACCCUGGAAUUGCCUUCAAGAC
rnacentral:rRNA from 1 species